GUCUUUUUGAUAAUAAUUUAAAGUCUGACCUGCUCACUGAUGUUAAUUAAAGAGCCGCGGUAAUUUGACCGUGCAAAGGUAGCAUAAUCAUUAGUCUUUUAAUUGAAGACUGGAAUGAAUGGUUUGACGAGGAAUUAACUGUCUCUGUAUAAAAUAUAUAAUUUAACAUUUAAGUUAAAAGGCUUAAAUUUAUCUCAAGGACGAGAAGACCCUAUAGAGCUUAAUAUAUUUUUUUAUAUUUGUAUAUGAUAGUUUUGAAAUAUAUUUUAUAUUAUAUUUUGUUGGGGUGACAUAAGGAAUAAAUAAACUCUUUAUUAUUAAAUCAUUAAUUUAUGUUUAAUUGAUCCAAAAUUUUUGAUCAUAAGAUUAAGUUACCUUAGGGAUAACAGCGUAAUUGUUUUUGAGAGUUCUUAUCUACAAAGCAGAUUGCGACCUCGAUGUUGGAUUAAGAAAAAUUUUUGGUGUAGAAGUCAAAAUAUUAGGUCUGUUCGACCUUUAAAUUCUU
rnacentral:rRNA from 1 species